GAUGAACGCUAGCGGCAUGCCUAACACAUGCAAGCCGAGCGGUAUUGUUUCUUCGGAAAUGAGCGCGCGGCGUACGGGUGCGUAACACGUGUGCAACCUGCCUUUAUCUGGGGGAUAGCCUUUCGAAAGGAAGAUUAAUACUCCAUAAUAUUUUUAACGGAAUCGAUUAUUAUUGAAAGCUCCGGCGGGUAGAGAUGGGCACGCGCAAGAUUUGCUAGUUGGUGAGGGAACGGCUCACCAAGGCGGUGAUCUUUAGGGGGGCGGAGGGUGUGAUCCACCACACUUGAAACGAGACCCGGACCAGACUCCUACGGGAGGCAGCAGUGAGGAAUACUGGGCAAGGAGUGCAAGCCUGAACCAGCCAUCCCGCGGGAAGGACGUCUGCCCUAUGGGUUGUAAACUUCUUUUGUAUAGGGAUAAACCUACUCUCGAGAGGGUAGCUGAAGGUACUAUACGAAUAAGCACCGGCUAACUCCGUG
rnacentral:rRNA from 1 species